AGCUUUGCACAGUGGCCAUAUCAUAGCCAAUGAGGUUUAUCUGAGGCGCCAUUAUUGCUAGCUGAAAAAAAUCUAGGAAAACCCGCUCAAACUCUGAACCGCUUCUGCUUCCAAGCUUUUUGGAUAAAGGAUUUUC